CAACAACAGACUCGGUGAAAUUGUAAUUCCGGUGAAGAUGCCGGAUACCUGCGACAGGACGGAAAGACCCCAUGGAGCUUUACUGUAGCUUGACAUUGGGUCUUGGUACUACAUGUACAGGAUAGGUGGGAGGCUUUGAAACCAGGACGCCAGUUUUGGCGGAGCCAUCCUUGGGAUACCACCCUUGUAGUACUGGGACUCUAACCAUAGGCCAUGAAUCUGGUCUUGGGACACUGUCAGGUGGGCAGUUUGACUGGGGCGGUCGCCUCCCAAAAGGUAACGGAGGCGCUCAAAGGUUCUCUCAGUACGGUCGGAAAUCGUACGUAGAGUGUAAAGGCAAAAGAGAGCUUGAUUGCAAGACAUACAGGUCGAGCAAGGAUGAAAAUCGGACUUAGUGAUCCGGUGGUUCUGCGUGGAAGGGCCAUCGCUCAACGGAUAAAAGCUACCCUGGGGAUAACAGGCUUAUCUCCCCCAAGAGUCCACAUCGACGGGGAGGUUUGGCACCUCGAUGUCGGCUCAUCACAUCCUGGGGCUGUAGUAGGUCCCAAGGGUUGGGCUGUUCGCCCAUUAAAGUGGUACGCGAGCUGGGUUCAGAACGUCGUGAGACAGUUCGGUCCCUAUCCGUCGCAGGCGUAGGAAAUUUGAGAAGACCUGUCCUUAGUACGAGAGGACCGGGAUGGACGUACCUCUGGUGUACCAGUUGUUCUGCCAAGGGCAUGGCUGGGUAGCUAUGUACGGAAUGGAUAAGCGCUGAAAGCAUCUAAGCGCGAAGCCAACUUCAAGAUAAGAUUUCCCACCGCAAGGGUAAGACCCCAGAAAGACUAUCUGGUUGAUAGGUCGAAGGUGUAAGUGCAGCAAUGUAUUUAGCUUAUCGAUACUAAUAGGUCGAGGACUUGACCAAAUU
rnacentral:rRNA from 1 species